rnacentral:rRNA from 1 species
GACGAACGCUGGCGGCGUGCCUAAUACAUGCAAGUCGAACGCACAGUUUAUACCGUAGCUUGCUACACCAUAAACUGUGAGUUGCGAACGGGUGAGUAACGCGUAGGUAACCUGCCUGGUAGCGGGGGAUAACUAUUGGAAACGAUAGCUAAUACCGCAUAAUAUUGAUUAUUGCAUGAUAAUUGAUUGAAAGAUGCUAUUGCAUCACUACCAGAUGGACCUGCGUUGUAUUAGCUAGUAGGUGAGGUAACGGCUCACCUAGGCGACGAUACAUAGCCGACCUGAGAGGGUGAUCGGCCACACUGGGACUGAGACACGGCCCAGACUCCUACGGGAGGCAGCAGUAGGGAAUCUUCGGCAAUGGACGAAAGUCUGACCGAGCAACGCCGCGUGAGUGAAGAAGGUUUUCGGAUCGUAAAGCUCUGUUGUAAGAGAAGAAAGGGUGUGAGAGUGGAAAGUUCACACUGUGACGGUAUCUUACCAGAAAGGGACGGCUAACUACGUG